UGUUGGAUUUUUCUCUUUUUAUUCCUUUAAGCAGCAGGUUGCAAUUGUGCUAGUCUUGUGUGAAAACCCACUUGUUCAUCAAAGUAUAACAGCAAGUUGGAAUUGCACUAGGUUUGUGUGAAGACGUACUUGCUGAUGUAGAUCAAAAUUUCAAUUAGGGUCUUUGCCUGCAGACUAAGUAGUCCCCCAUUGAACAAAUACUUUGCGAUAGAUAUAAAAUAAAGCUCAAAUUAUGAUUGAUCUCAUAACUGCGUUAUUAUAAGGUAAGGAUUUAUUUCAAUUCUAAUUUGAGUUGACAAAUCUUUGUAAGAUGGAGACCAAAGGCUGGUUAUUGGCAACUUUGACCUGUAUUCUGAAGUCUAGUUUUAUCUUUACUUGGCUCUUUCCUUGUGUUCAAAUGAUGAUUGGAAUAAUUUCAGUAAUUAUUCCUAGUCAUUUAUGAAUGAUUCGAAUGUCAAAUGAUCUGACAAUUUUACAUGUGCUGUUAGAGAUACCUGUCAUAAGUCACAACUGGCUUUCCAAAGUUGAAUCACAACUUUAGACAACAGUUUAAAUUAAAUCUGAGCUUAGAAUACGAACCAUAGUAACUAAUUGUGACAUUAAACAGUAAAACAUGAAACUUACUUUCAAUGAUCAUAACAUACAAGACACAAAAACUUUCAAUAGCAAAAUAGGAUUUAUAUCAUAUGACUAGUUUUAAAUACACUAAUAACAUAACAAAAAUUCAUGAAAAUUUAAGAUUUGCUUUGUGUUUCAUUAAAGCCACUCUCUUUGACCAAGUUUCUAUUGGAAUAUUAACCUAACUUUUCUGUGACCUCAAUUCAACAUUGUAAAAUCUAAUCAGAUAUGAUUCUUGCUUAAUUAUGAAUAUGUGAGCCAAAUUUGAAAUUAAACCUUCAAAAUGUUUAAAGCAUAGGUGACAUUUUUUCCAAUAAAAAACAACACUUUGCACGGCUUUGUGCACGAAAUGACAUGAUCAAUUGAGGUUCUAACUUAAAAAGUACUGAAAGUACUGAUUUGAUUGUGUUAAAAAUUUAUCAGUCAAUUGUAAAUUUCUAAUUCCUGCCUCCACGAGCCAGGUGCCUGUUCCACAAAUCUAAUCCAUGAGACAUUGACAAAAAGAUACAAAGAGAAUCCAUAAAAAUGAUGUCAUCAAUUGGGUAAUAAACAACAUAUAAGAAUUUUUAGCAUGUAUGGAAAAUAAACAUUAAUGAAAGGGAGUGAUUGAUGAAAUAACCGCAAUUCCUCUUUAUCCAUUCAUCCUUUUUCUCUUUUUUUUAUAACUAAA